rnacentral:tRNA from 1 species
GCCCGGCAGGCUCAGUCAACGGAGCAUAUGACUCUUGAUCUUAGGGUUGUGGGUUUGAGUCUCACGUUGAGUG